CAUUUCUUCUCUGACACUAAUCUCAACCUUUCCAAAAUAUUACAAUACCUCUCCCAUGAAACAGACUUUGUCCUCAAGGUCUAUACUGAGCUACAAACUCCAAAAAUUGACUUCUCAUGUACCCCCAAUCCUCCCAAGUUGCAUCUUCAAGGCUCAGAUUAGCCCACUGAACCAACACCUUAACCCCAACCCCAUUGUUGACUUUCACCAUUUUCCUUUGAAGAAUAACAAUCAGCUGAAUCAAGACUCGACCAUCGACGUCACAGAUCAGAGGUUGCAGCUGAAGAGUGACUGCUAGACCUAUUCGACACUUCAAUUGUUAAAUAUGGAAAACCAGGUGGAUCUGUGAACCUGGAGGAAGAUCAAGCCGGGGAAUGAAGUGGUCAUGGUUUCUCUUUGGAGGCAAGGUUUUGGGCUCAGAGAAGACAUCUGGGAAUUCCUUCAACACCUGUUGAAUAGAUGCAGGCAGUGUAUCAGGUCCUUCGAGCUCUAUGACAAAUAAUUGUUUGGGAAGGUUACCAAGCUCGAAGUGCUGGGACCGAUCAAGUACCGAGUUCGAAGUCAUUACCAAGCUCGAGUCCAAAUCGAACCAUGAGGUGAAGCGGUGUCAUCGAGCUCAAGAGCCAGAGACCGACCAAUAUCAAGCCCGAUUCGAUACCGAUCCCCGAGUCAAUAUCGAGCUCGAGUUAAUAUCGAGCUCUAAAUCUGGAAAUCAACCAAUACCAAAUCCGACCAAGAUCGAGCCAAGAGACAAGAGCCGUUACAGCCGCACUAAGGGAGAGAAUAUUGGCGGUUAUUAGGAAAAAGCUAAUCUAUCAUGGGAUCCCCACUAUGUAUUUUUAAUUAAAUCUAAAGUAGGAUUCCUCCACUAUAAGAGGGAUAGCUACUAUUUCUGCAGAGGAGAAAACAUUAAGGCAUUGAUACACUCUCAUAUUAUUGAUAUUCACAGAGAUAAAUAUACUGAUAUUUAUAUUGAGAUUAUCUUCUUGUGAGCUAUAUACAUUGAUUCAUCUUGCUUGUUCAUAAAAUAGCUUUCUAUUUCAAUUUGGUUGGUAUUUUAUUCUUCA